rnacentral:rRNA from 1 species
UACGUAGGGGGCAAGCGUUGUCCGGAUUUAUUGGGCGUAAAGAGCGUGUAGGCGGCCAUACAGGUCAGCUGUGAAAACUCGAGGCUCAACCUCGAGACGUCGGUUGAAACCGUAUGGCUAGAGUCCGGAAGAGGAGAGUGGAAUUCCCGGUGUAGCGGUGAAAUGCGCAGAUAUCGGGAAGAACACCCGUGGCGAAGGCGGCCCACUGGUCCGGUACUGACGCUGAGGUGCGAAAGCGUGGGGAGCAAACAGG